rnacentral:rRNA from 1 species
AUGGUUUGUUUAGGUGACCUUAAUAAUAUUAUACAUAAAAGAGAAUCUUAUGGAGCUAAUGUUAAUUACAAUCGUAUGCAAGGUUUUAAUAAUUAUGUUAAGCAGUGUGGCUUGUUCGACCUGGGCUUUUCUGGACCUGCUUACACUUGGACCAAUAUGAGCUUUUCUUCUAAUCCUAUUUCUGAACGUCUCGAUCGAUGUCUUGCUAAUGAUGAAUGGUGUGAUUUGUUUCCCAUGAAAAAUGUUUUCAACAUGCCUAUUAUUCAUAGUUUUAGCGAUCAUGCACCUAUCUUACUUUCAACUUAGUCUAAAUUUAAAAGGCCUUGGCUCACCUUCAAAUUUGAAAAUUGGUGGAUUCUUGAGGGAGAUCAUCAAUCUGUUGCAAAGAAUGAUUGGGCUUCUACAGCUACAAAACCUUUCCAUGCACGCACUAACCAUCUUGCAUGUACUCUUAAAGUGUGGUGCAAAAAGAAAAGACCACUUUAG